UACGUAGGGUGCAGGCGUUAAUCGGAAUUACUGGGCGUAAAGCGUGCGCAGGCGGUUUGCUAAGUGAGAUGUGAAAUCCCCGGGCUUAACCUGGGAACUGCGUUUCUAACUGGCAGGCUUGAGUGUGGCAGAGGGGGGUGGAAUUCCACGUGUAGCAGUGAAAUGCGUAGAGAUGUGGAGGAACACCGAUGGCGAAGGCAGCCCCCUGGGCUAACACUGACGCUCAUGCACGAAAGCGUGGGGAGCAAACAGG
rnacentral:rRNA from 1 species